rnacentral:rRNA from 1 species
UACAGAGGUCUCAAGCGUUGUUCGGAUUCAUUGGGCGUAAAGGGUGCGUAGGCGGCGCGGUAAGUCGGGUGUGAAAUCUCGGAGCUUAACUCCGAAACUGCAUUCGAUACUGCCGUGCUUGAGGACUGGAGAGGAGACUGGAAUUUACGGUGUAGCGGUGAAAUGCGUAGAUAUCGGAAGGAACACCAGUGGCGAAAGCGGCUUCCUGGUCCAGCACCGACAUUCAGGCACGAAAGCGUGGGGAGCAAACAGG